AUUUAUAAUUUUAAAUUAUGAUAUCAAAUUAUUUAAAGUUUAAAUAAGUUUUAUAAUAACUAUAAAUUAAUAGAGAGAUAAUUUGUAUUAUUUUUUUAGAGCCAUUGAUUUUGAUUUAGAUCAAAGACCCAAAAUCAUUUUGUCUAUCUAUCCUUACAUUUUUUUCCUAUUGGCCAAUUUGUUUAUGGCAUGGACCAAACAAUCAAUGGUUCACAACCAUUCAUAAACUCUUAUCCAACGGAUAAAAUUAAACACAUUUAAUAUUAUUUUUGUUUUUUUCUUCUUCCUCCUUUUCUUGUUUCUGGUUUCUCAGAUCUCUUUCCUCCUCUCUUCUCUCUCACGACAUUGCAUCUCUUCUUUUUUUUUCAAUUGCUCGUCGGAAACGAAACACUUGGAUCAAACGCCGAGACCACACCAUGUACGUUUGAGGAAAUCGAAAGCCCUGAUUUCAGAGACUUGAAGGAAGAACGAGAUGAUGAGGAUGAAGAACAGCCGGAGAUGGAGAGAAGAGGCGGAGGCAGAGGAAUAAGCAACGGCGGAUGUGGUGGAGCCGAGCAAGAAGAAGAAGAAGAAAGGCGGAGAAGGAGAGCAGACAGAGACGCAAGGAGGAGGAGGAUGAAGUAGGAAGAUGACGAGCAGAUCGAACGGUGUUGGUCUCGGCGUCAACGAGGAGUGCGGCAGAGAUCGAAGAAGAAUGUGGUUUAGUUAGGUUUAGUUAGGUUUGGUUAUGGUUAGUUUAUAAACCGGAUUUGUAUGUAAACCGGUUUUUGUAAUAAACCAAUACAUUUGUAAACCAAAAUUUUAAUAAUAAAUAAUUUUAUUCACAAACCAA